rnacentral:rRNA from 2 species
GUGCGAGACCGAUAGCGAACAAGUACCGUGAGGGAAAGAUGAAAAGAACUUUGAAAAGAGAGUUAAAGAGUACCUGAAACUGUUGAAAGGGAAUCGAAUCGUUUCCAGUGUCUUUAUCCAGUGCAUAUUUCGCUGGCGGAUGCUUGUAUGUGGUUUGCUUGGCUAGUAGUUUAUUCUGCAGCUAGCGUUCUGCGUUGCGAGUAUUUGCUGGUGCCCUGUGCAUUGGUGUGACGUCAAAGUCAGUUUGCAAGUCGCGGGAGAUGGCUGUCAAGGAGGUAGUUUAGGCAUGUAUUUGCUUAAAUGUUAUAUCUUGGCGUGCUAGUUGUCGUGGCUGAGACUGAGGUGCCUAC